UACGAAGGGGUCUAGCAUUGUUCGGAAUUACUGGGCGUAAAGCGCACGUAGGCGGAUUUGUUAGUCAGGAGUUAAAUCCCGGGGCUCAACCUCGGAACUGCCUUUGAUACUGCAAAUCUCGAGUCCGGAAGAGGUGAGUGGAAUUCCUAGUGUAGAGGUGAAAUUCGUAGAUAUUAGGAAGAACACCAGUGGCGAAGGCGGCUCACUGGUCCGGUACUGACGCUGAGGUGCGAAAGCCUCGGGCGCAAACAGG
rnacentral:rRNA from 1 species